rnacentral:rRNA from 1 species
CGAUGAAGGGCGUACUAAUCUGCGAUAAGCGCCGGUAAGGUGAUAUGAACCGUUAUAACCGGCGAUACCCGAAUGGGGAAACCCAGUGUGAUUCGUCACACUAUCAUUAACUGAAUCCAUAGGUUAAUGAGGCGAACCGGGGGAACUGAAACAUCUAAGUACCCCGAGGAAAAGAAAUCAACCGAGAUUCCCCCAGUAGCGGCGAGCGAACGGGGAGGAGCCCAGAGCCUGAAUCAGCAUGUGUGUUAGUGGAAGCGUCUGGAAAGGCGCGCGAUACAGGGUGACAGCCCCGUACACAAAAGCGCAUGUGCUGUGAGCUCGAUGAGUAGGGCGGGACACGUGGUAUCCUGUCUGAAUAUGGGGGGACCAUCCUCCAAGGCUAAAUACUCCUGACUGACCGAUAGUGAACCAGUACCGUGAGGGAAAGGCGAAAAGAACCCCGGCGAGGGGAGUGAAAAAGAACCUGAAACCGU